CUGCAGCAUGUGUAGGUUCCCAUUCAGUCCUUAUAUUACUGUAGCAUAGGCUCUGCUGCAGCAUGUGUAGGUUCCCAUUCAGUCCUUAUAUUACUGUAGCAUAGGCUCUGCUGCAGCAUGUGUAGGUUCCCAUUCAGUCCUUAUAUUACUGUAGCAUAGGCUCUGCUGCAGCAUGUGUAGGUUCCCAUUCAGUCCUUAUAUUACUGUAGCAUAGGCUCUGCUGCAGCAUGUGUAGGUUCCCAUUCAGUCCUUAUAUUACUGUAGCAUAGGCUCUGCUGCAGCAUGUGUAGGUUCCCAUUCAGUCCUUAUAUUACUGUAGCAUAGGCUCUGCUGCAGCAUGUGUAGGUUCCCAUUCAGUCCUUAUAUUACUGUAGCAUAGGCUCUGCUGCAGCAUGUGUAGGUUCCCAUUCAGUCCUUAUAUUACUGUAGCAUAGGCUCUGCUGCAGCAUGUGUAGGUUCCCAUUCAGUCCUUAUAUUACUGUAGCAUAGGCUCUGCUGCAGCAUGUGUAG